AAAGUUUGAAGCAGCAUGGUGGUGCCUCAUGAUGCAACACUGCAAGACUCCUGACCUGAUACUUAUGCAGCAGCACAGCUAAACACAGAACAUUUAUCAUCCAAAUUAAUGAACACUCCCUGCUUAGGACUGAAAGGACACAGGGUACCAAGUGUCUGGUCUCACAUCAUAGGACAAGAAUGAAUUCUGUGAAUGACUAAGGUCACCUGGGUGGCAGAGGUCAUACAUGGGUUUCCCGAUGACAUCAUCAGCCGACCAUUCACUUAGCUCAGAGAUUCUUAAAUUGAAAAUAU